CACUCCAGAGAUGAGAAACUGAAUCUCAUACCAAUACCAUGGCUUGAAACUCACUCUGCUGCAUCCUGCACUUGCCUUGCUCACAGAUUACUGCUCAUUUUCUCCUCUUGCACCUUUCCCACUCCAUAUGGAUAGCUCAAGAACCACUGAGCAGGAGGAAGCCAUCAGGAGAUUCUAACUCAGCAAAAGUGGGUAUUCAUCAAUUUCCCCUUUGAUAAGGAAUAGGAACGACACCAAAAACCUGUACCUGCUGCAGUACCUGGAAAGAGUGUGUUGUGCAGCCCAGUCACUUCAUAUCUGACAAGGAUGCCUUGAGGGAAUUCUUGUGCUUGAUUUUAGUGGAAUAAAUGAGCCCUGCAGAGAGGCAGUAAAAAAUAUGAGACCAUGAGCACAUGCUAAUGAACCUGCCUAACUGUGAAGGUAUCCAAAACCUCCCCAAAAUGCUGCUUGAAGUCCAGGAACCUCUUACAGUCAGCAGCUAAAGACUUCAAAUCUGCAGGAGUGUUACCAAGAUGGAAAGAGAGACAGGGUAAGAACCAGCAUGACCAGUAAUCAAAACCUGGUUCUAAAUCUGAUUGAUGGACCAGCUUGCAUCCUGCCCCUGACCUAGUCCAUGUCAAACUAUAUCACCAAAACCACCAAAAACCAUCUAUCACGUGAAUGGAAAGCAAAUGACAGCCCAAUAUGCAUGUCUGGAGAAGAACUGAAAGUUUUUGAUGAUCGGAAGCUGUUGAAUACCCUGGAUUUUAUUUUUCUGUCAUUAUUUUUAUCUCAGUUGGAAAACAUGGUGUUUGGCACACACUGAGCUUGUUUUCAGCUCUAAAGGGAGAUAUCAUGAUGUCAAAGAAAUCUGUAAUGGUGAUGGCACAGAGAAAGCCAGCAAAAAUAAGUGUGGCACAUUGUUAAGGGAGGGAGACUCGAUAGUGAAGAUUAAUUUGAAAUGACCUGUUUCUACAGAGUCCAACUAGACCUGGAGAAACUUCAGAUUCUGGUUUUUAUUUUUGAAUGUGUCAUGCUAAGCACAACAAAUCUUGUUUACCUUCAACUGUCAGACCUAGGUGGAUUUGUCUCUGCAUGGGGGAAGAAGGUACUGGGGAAGGUCUUUCUCACCCCCCUCUGCUCUGGAUCUGGAGGGACUCUGUGUCUUACAGCUCUGAGUUGUGAUUUUAAGUAAUUCCAGGACAAAGCCAAGGCUCAGGUAAUAAUGUAAGACAAUUCUGGGAGUGGGGGUAGGGGGCAGCCUGCUGUUCCUUGUAUUGAUCAGGAAUUAAUGUCUAACCUUUGAAAACGCAGUGGAGAAUCUCAGUGUGAUUGUGAAACCCUACUUUGUGCUGUGAUCAGUUACCUCUGGGGACCCGCGGGGCUCAGCCUGCUGAUUACAGAUGCAUUUGGAAAAACCUGAAUUUUCAAUUUUUCACAUGAAUCUUAUAAAGUGAAACGGACUCCUGCUGGGAUUUAUGGAAACUGGUUUACUCUCCACUGCACUCAGUACAUCUACUGAGCUAAGCUUGGAGAGUUCUUCAACCAGAGAGGCACUGCAAGAAUUAUUCCACCCUCAGCAAGUUAAUUGCUGCAUCGUCAAGUAGCAUGGUUAUCCAUCCUAUUCCUUCUGCUUUCUCUCUCUUUUUUCCCCCCUCUUCCUCUCCAAGAGCUGAUGUGUGAUGUCUUUUAUUUUUUUUCCCUCCUUCUUGCCAUCUGUUUCAUGUUUGUAACUUGCAGAGGGUGGGUGUGUGGUAGUGGAGCUUGAGAUGAAGUUUGCUGGUGCAGGCAUUUCUUUCACUCUGUUAAUUAGAUUUGUGUUUUCGUUACUCCCAGUUCUAAGGGCCAUGCAAAUAGGACUAAAUUAUGCAUUAGUGAUAUGCCCCAGUGUUUAAAACAUUCUUAUUGUUGGGGGACACUGGCUCCAUCCUCUAUUCCUCCCUUUCAUGGAAUUCAAUUAUAUUUAAACUAUUAACAUGGAAAGUCUAAAAAUUCUAUUAAAAUGUCAGUUUAAUAAAUCUUCCUAGGUUUAAUCUUUCAUUUCUGGACUAGGGGAAGGGGAGGAUGAAUUAUGACAGUUUUAAGUUUUCCCCGAGCAGCCCCUGUGUGUUAAAUUGUCUGUAACUGUCAAGAGUGUUUCUGAACUUAUCUCUAUUGGUAAAACAAUCUGAGGCAAUAGGAGGCUGCCUGGGGUAUUCACUGGAAUCAAGCACUUCAUGUCCAGAUCUAAAACACUCCAGAACUGGGGGAAUUUGGACCCAGUUCUUUUUUUCGAAUUUUUACAGAAAAGCGAGGGAAAUGGGGUGCUUCGUGCCCCCUCCACUCCCUGCUCUGGGCUCUCAAAGAUGGGUUUAUCUGGCUUUAGACAUGUGAUUUGGACCCAGCACUAUUUAAAACUGAUUAGAUUGUUGUUUUUAAUUCCUCUCUUCUUCCAUGUGCCACUUCAGAAAUGCCAAGGAAAUGUCCAUCAUUUUGCUUGGUACGUCAUGGUGCUGAGUACCACGUGAGCAUCUCCUGCAAGCAAAGCUUUCUCCUCUCCCUCUUUUUGUGCUGCACUUCUGCUUUUAAUAAAUGCUGAAAUCGA